rnacentral:rRNA from 1 species
UUCCCUACGGGACGCAGCAGUGGGGAAUAUUGCACAAUGGGGGAAACCCUGAUGCAGCGACGCCGCGUGAGCGAGGAAGUACCUCGGUAUGUAAAGCUCUGCCAGCAGGGAAGAAAAUGACAGUACCUGACCAAGAAGCCCCGGCUAACUACGUGCCAGCAGCCGCGGUAAUACGUAGGGGGCAAGCGUUAUCCGGAUUUACUGGGUGUAGAGGGAGCGUAGACGGCAGCGCAAGUCUGAAGUGAAAUCCCAUGGCUUAACCAUGGAACUGCUUUGGAAACUGUGCAGCUGGAGUGCAGGAGAGG